UACGGAAGGCAGCAGUGGGGAAUAUUGGACAAUGGGCGAAAGCCUGAUCCAGCCAUGCCGCAUGAGUGAAGAAGGCCUUCGGGUUGUAAAGCUCUUUUAGUGAGAAAGAUAAUGACGGUACUCACAGAAGAAGUCCUGGCUAACUCCGUGCCAGCAGCCGCGGUAAUACGGAGAGGGCUAGCGUUAUUCGGAAUUAUUGGGCGUAAAGAGCGCGUAGGCUGAUUAGUAAGUUAAAAGUGAAAUCCCAAAGCUUAACUUUGGAAUUGCUUUUUAAAACUGCUAGUCUAGAGAUUGAAAGAGGAUAGAGGAAUUCCUAGUGUAGAGGUGAAAUUCGUAAAUAUUAGGAGGAACACCAGUGGCGAAGGCGUCUAUCUGGUUCAAAUCUGACGCUGAGGCGCGAAGGGCGUGGGGAGCAAACGAGGGAUUUAGAUACCCGU
rnacentral:rRNA from 1 species